rnacentral:rRNA from 1 species
UACGUAGGGUGCAAGCGUUAUUCGGAAUUACUGGGCGUAAAGCGUGCGCAGGCGGUUUUGUAAGUCUGACGUGAAAUCCCCGGGCUCAACCUGGGAAUUGCGUUGGAGACUGCAAGGCUAGAAUCUGGCAGAGGGGGGUAGAAUUCCACGUGUAGCAGUGAAAUGCGUAGAUAUGUGGAGGAACACCGAUGGCGAAGGCAGCCCCCUGGGUCAAGAUUGACGCUCAUGCACGAAAGCGUGGGGAGCAAACAGG